rnacentral:misc_RNA from 1 species
GAGGCACGACGGCGUGUUGAUCCAUAUAGCUGUUGCUGCCCUGCAGCGUUUGCUCUGUGUCAGUUGCAGUUUCUACUGCUGUACGAGUAUUGUUCCACGAGCGUAGAAAAAUAACUUGCCCUCAUGGCCUCCCCGCUCAAGAGCUGCAUCGAUCCGGCCGAACACCCACUCGACACUCGAAGGAACUUUGGGGAGUACAUGGUUCAGCAUCUCAGGCGUCACGCAGGCUCAAAACUGAUCAACGGUACAACCGACGAAGCCUACAACUACGGCGAAGUAGCAGAACAGGUGGAUGCCGUGAGGACAGCGCUAUGGCGAUUGGGCCAUGAAGCUGGAGACAAGAUCCUGCUCCUCAGCGCAAAUCGGACGCAACUGCUGCCGAUGUUUCUGGGUGCAGCAUGCGCCAACGUGGCGUCCGUCUGUGAAAUCCCGGGCUUCAGUGUCGGUGAGUAUGCCAAAAGGUUCUUCACCAUG